rnacentral:sRNA from 1 species
GCCAGGCGCGGUGGUGCACGCCUAUAAUCCCAGCUGCUUGGGAGACUGAGGCAGGAGGAUCAAGAGUUCAAAGUCAGCCUCAGCAAAAGAGAGGUGCUAAGCAACUCCGUGAGACCCUGUCUCUA